GUAAUGUGUGUGUGAGUGUGUGUUUAACAGUUAACGCGGCAGGGAGUGGACAGAAGGGCCAAGUGUGACAGGUGGACAGGCAUGAUAAGGAGAGAGCGGUGCAGCCCAGCGCUCAGCAGAAGCAGACCCCAGGAGAAUAUCCAGCCAAAAGCAGCUAAUAGCUGAUACUCAUCAGAGAUAGAGCCACUGAAGAUUUCCUUUCUCUGUGGAAUAGUCCGUUCAUUCAGCUCCAGCCCAAAUUCUCCUCCCUAAAAAUGUGAAAAGAUGUUGUUAAUCAAGUUUUAUACAACAGAACAGUUAAUGUUGGGACUGAAGGACUGUGCCAUGGUUAGUAUAAUUUACUGCUUACGCUUUGCCCCAGGUUAAAUUGUAAUUUUUUGGGGUGAUAUUCACAUAUGCAGCAUAAAACUGUAUGGUGUUUGUGACUGCCCACAGGAUAUCACAAAUCACUAAUUAAAUCUCUUUCCAUUCACUUCUGUUUAUAGAUCCGAUGAAGAGUAUAUCGAGACUUUCUGCUUUACAGAUUUCACAUCAGUGUCUCAAUGCAAACUCAGCAAUGUUGUAACUCCAAGAAGAAGGCAUGGCAAGAGGAAGUUCACAGUCUUCAAGGCACCAAAUUACACCAUUGAUCCGAACCCAAAAUGGCUCCAUGUCUGGCAUUUUCAGAGGCCGUUUCCAAGUCAAUGUCAUCCUAUCUGCCUUAAACUAAAAGAGACAAAUACGACUGGAAUAAGGUAAAGAUGGAGUGGUUGUCUUGCUGUUGUGCUGGUAUCAGACAUGGGCUCUUCAUCAGAUGACUAAUGGAGUUGUGCAGCUAACCAGGAGGCCCAAGGCUGUUUGUUAGCUCCUAACAAGGUGAACCAGCUCCUACGGAACAGCACACUAGCGCUGAAGGAUUUAUUAUAGAUCUGCGUGUCCGCGGGCCAUGAACAGUAUAGCGCCGGUCUCAUUGUAGUGGGUCCACCACACUAGCAGAGGGUUUAGAUCAUUAUUGCCUCAUUGUUUUGAUACAAUUUUGCAGAGCGGAUGAUGGAUGGAUGGAUAAUCGGAUGAGUAAAGGAGUUUUGGUAGCCUAGCACAUGAGGGUAAUGGAUGGACUGCAAAAACACACGAAAAUGAUAAGGAAAAGUGAGUUUUGAACAUGUUUUAUGGUGGAAUUUGGAAAAACAUUUUCAGUCUUUACACAUUUAGAUAGUUGACAUUGUUGAGUAGUUGACAGUGAUGUACUGUAGUAUGUUAUAAUUCACCUAAAGUUAUAUUAAACAGCAUUGUUUUUAAUAAUUAUAUAUUCAUUUAGAAAGACUUACUUUCUUAUUUAGUUACAUAUAAAAAAUACAAAUUAAAAAAAAAAAAUAUAUAUAUAUAUAUAUAUAUAUAAAUAUAUUUACAUUUUAAAUAUUUGAUUUGCACAUUUAGUAUGUGUGUGUGUUUUUUUAAUUGUACAAAUUUAAAAAUACAAAAACACUAAAACAUUUAA
ensembl:lncRNA